AAACUUUCAACAAUGGAUCUCUUGUGUUCCGGCAUCGAUGAAGAACGCAGCGAAAUGCGAUAACUAGUGUGAAUUGCAGAAUUCCGUGAAUCAUCGAGUCUUUGAACGCACAUUGCGCCCCCUGGUAUUCCGGGGGGCAUGCCUGUCCGAGCGUCAUU
rnacentral:rRNA from 1 species